rnacentral:hammerhead_ribozyme from 1 species
AUCCAGUUGGCGAGUCCCGAAUAGGACGGAAUGCGCGUCCUGAAU